UUGCUUUAUUGGUUGGUUUAAUU
rnacentral:snRNA from 1 species